CCUGAGCUGGCGCCAGAUUUUCAACGGCGACUUUGUGGACCGCGGCUCCUUCUCGGUGGAGGUGAUCCUGACGCUGUUCGGGUUCAAGCUGCUCUACCCCGAGCACUUCCACCUGCUCCGAGGGAACCACGAGACCGACAACAUGAACCAGAUCUACGGCUUCGAGGGCGAGGUCAAGGCCAAGUACACGGCGCAGAUGUUCGCGCUCUUCAGCGAGGUGUUCGAGUGGCUGCCGCUGGCGCAGUGCAUCAACGGCAAAGUGCUGAUCAUGCACGGGGGUCUCUUCAGCGAGGACGGCGUCACCCUCGA